rnacentral:rRNA from 1 species
GACGAACGCUGGCGGCGUGCUUAACACAUUCAAGUCGAACGGAAAGGCCCUGCUUUUGUGGGGUGCUCGAGUGGCGAACGGGUGAGUAACACGUGAGUUACCUGCCCUUUACUUUUGGAUAACUUCAGGAAACUGGGGCUAAUACCGGAUAGGAGCUCCUUCUUCAUGGUGGGGGUUGGAAAGUUUCGGCGGUUGGGGAUGGACUCGCGGCUUAUCAGCUUGUUGGUGGGGUAGUGGCUUACCAAGGCUUUGACGGGUAGCCGGCCUGAGAAGGUGACCGGCCACAUUGGGACUGAGAUACGGCCCAGACUCCUACGGGAGGCAGCAGUGGGGAAUAUUGCACAAUGGGCGGAAGCCUGAUGCAGCAACGCCGCGUGCGGGAUGACGGCCUUCGGGUUGUAAACCGCUUUCGCCUGUGACGAAGCGUGAGUGACGGUAAUGGGUAAAGAAGCACCGGCUAACUACGUG